rnacentral:rRNA from 1 species
GACGAACGCUGGCGGCGUGCUUAACACAUGCAAGUCGAACGGAAAGGCCCUGCUUUUGUGGGGUGCUCGAGUGGCGAACGGGUGAGUAACACGUGAGUAACCUGCCCUUUACUUUGGGAUAACUUCAGGAAACUGGGGCUAAUACCGGAUAGGAUCUCCUGCUGCAUGGUGUGGGUUGGUAAGUUUCGGCGGUUGGGGAUGGACUCGCGGCUUAUCAGCUUGUUUGUGGGGUAGUGGCUUACCAAGGCUUUGACGGGUAGCCGGCCUGAGAGGGUGACCGGCGACAUUGGGACUGAGAGACGGCCCAGAAUCGAACGGGAGGCAGCAGUGGGGAAUAUUGCAGAAUGGGCGGAAGGAUGAUGCAGAAACGCAGCGUGCGGGAUGAAGGCCUACGGGGUGUAAACAGAUGUCGAAUGUGAAGAAGAGUGAGUGACGGUAAUGGGUAAAGAAGCACCGGCUAACUACGUG